UUUCUAUAUUACUCUGUUCUACAGACUGUACCUACCUUGGCAUCCCAAUGCUGCUAGCUUUACCACCUUAAUUCAGGGAAAUGGCUGGACUGUGGAUUUCUCCUCCCUGUGCUAUAGCCUAGAAACAACUGCUUCCACAAUAGGAUGUAAGCACCAAGAUGGAAAGGGACUCCUCUUUCUCAUUCACCACUGAAUUCCUAGGUGUGGUACCUCCAAAAGCUCCAGUCACAUUAGUGGCUGCACCAGUUUGCAUUCCCACCAACAGUGUAAGAAGAUGCCAUUUAUCUGAAUCCUGACCAACAUCUAUUGCCCUGUGCUGUUAAUUUUAGCCAUUCUGAUAGGUGGAGAACAAAUAAAGUGAAGGAAGGAAGAAAGAAGGAAAGGAAGAAAGAAAUCAACCAACCAACCAAACAACCCUGGUGCACAGUAAGAAUAUAUGAGUUCAAAGGGAGCUUAGCUAUCCAUAAAAGCUCUGAAUGGGGAUGCAUGUUGACAGUGCCCAUCCAAGUAAUAUCUAAAAUGCAGGCAAUCUUGACCAAAGAUUCAGUGUAUUCCAAUCUAAUUGACUAAGUCAUCUCCAUUGUAGAUAUUAGGAAAUGUAACUGUAACUUAUAAAAGAUUUAAAUGAUGAAAUUCUUAUUUUGAGAUCAUGAUGGUAGUCCCCUAAAAAUCUUCAUCUCCUUCAAAAUGUAGCUAUACUCACAGCCUUUAAGAAUGUAGUUUUAGGGAUGCCUGGGUGGCUCAGCGGUUGAGUGUCUGCCUUCAGCUCAGGGCGUGACCCUGGGGUUCUGGGAUCGAGUCCCACAUCGG